GAUGAACGCUGGCGGCGUGCCUAAUACAUGCAAGUCGAGCGAACGGACCAGAAGCUUGCUUCUCUGAUUUUAGCGGCGGACGGGUGAGUAACACGUGGAUAACCUACCUAUAAGACUGGGAUAACUUCGGGAAACCGUAGCUAAUACCGGAUAAUAUUUUGAACCGCAUGGUUCAAAAGUGAAAGACGGUCUUGCUGUCACUUAUCGAUGGAUCCGCGCUGCAUUAGCUAGUUGGUAAGGUAACGGCUUACCAAGGCAACGAUGCAUAGCCGACCUGAGAGGGUGAUCGGCCACACUGGAACUGAGACACGGUCCAGACUCCUACGGGAGGCAGCAGUAGGGAAUCUUACGCAAAGGGCGAAAGCCUGACGGAGCAACGCCGCGUGAGUGAUGAAGGUCUUCGGAUCGUAAAACUCUGUUAUUAGGGAAGAACAUAUGUGUAAGUAACUGUGCACAUCUUGACGGUACCUAAUCAGAAAGCCACGGCUAACUACGUG
rnacentral:rRNA from 1 species